UACGUAGGUGACAAGCGUUGUCCGGAUUUACUGGGCGUAAAGAGCGCGCAGGCGGUCGAUCAAGUCGAGUGUGAAAGCCCCCGGCUCAACUGGGGAGGGUCAUUCGAUACUGAUCGACUCGAAGGCAGGAGAGGAUAGUGGAAUUCCCAGUGUAGUGGUGAAAUACGUAGAGAUUGGGAAGAACACCAGUGGCGAAGGCGGCUAUCUGGACGGUUUCUGACACUAAGACUCGAAAGCGUGGGGAGCAAACAGG
rnacentral:rRNA from 1 species